GAUAUGGGAGAAGUAGAGAUGAGCCCCAUUGUUUUACUCUGAUAUCAUCUUGCUGCAUAUUCUUUUUAUAGUAUUUGGAAGCUAUGCUGAUGCUUUGGCAAGGCAUGAUACACAAGAGUGUCUGCUAUUCAAGUAACUUCUCUUAUUUCACCUCUCUGGUCUCUUAAGCUGUUGCAGAAGACAUGACGACCGAGACAAAAUCGACUUGAUAGUGUACUCAAACAAAACGGUGGCCAAUGUUUAACUUCUCUCAUCAUCAUGCAGGACAUGGUAACACGACCGGCAAGGGAAAAAGUGUUAUUGGGCAAAGAAGCCGACGCGAAGACGAUGCAUUCCCAGGAAAAUCAUCUCAAGGAGCUCCAAGCUUGGUAGCUUGGACUCAGGCUUUGUUUAGUUCUCAAAAAGUUUUGCAAUUUUUUUUAGAUUCCCAGUCACAUCGAAUCUUAUGACACACGCAU
rnacentral:lncRNA from 1 species